ensembl:lncRNA novel transcript
UCAGAUGCUUCAAGUACAAACCAGAGCUGAGGAUUUUGAAUAGACUCCAUUUAGUUUCUCUUCUGGAGGCCCAACCCACACAAUCCUAAUUUCUCUGCCUCUUAAGUUGAUGCCAUAACCAAGUACUGUGGAGACAUCAAAAGAAUGAAGACAAAGAAAACAUACAGAAUUGGAAGAAGAUCUAACUCUAGAAGUCUCCAUCAACAAUUUGGAAUGAUUUUUGCUUACCUGUGACACCCAGAAAAAAACAACGUUCACAAUUUUACACAGAAAUCAGUGACAUGCGUGGAAAGAAAAUGGAACAGAAGGUAGAAACCU